rnacentral:rRNA from 1 species
AGCGGCGGAUGGGUGAGUAACACGUGGGGAACCUGCCCCUAAGUCUGGGAUACCAUUUGGAAACAGGUGCUGAUACCGGAUAAUAAAGCAGAUCGCAUGAUCAGCUUUUGAAAGGCGGCGUAAGCUGUCGCUAAGGGAUGGCCCCGCGGUGCAUUAGCUAGUUGGUAAGGUAACGGCUUACCAAGGCGACGAUGCAUAGCCGAGUUGAGAGACUGAUCGGCCACAUUGGGACUGAGACACGGCCCAAACUCCUACGGGAGGCAGCAGUAGGGAAUCUUCCACAAUGGACGCAAGUCUGAUGGAGCCACGCCGCGUGAGUGAAGAAGGUUUUCGGAUCGUAAAGCUCUGUUGUUGGUGAAGAAGGAUAGAGGUAGUAACUGGCCUUUAUUUGACGGUAAUCAACCAGAAAGUCACGGCUAACUACGUGCCAGCAGCCGCGGUAAUACGUAGGUGGCAAGCGUUGUCCGGAUUUAUUGGGCGUAAAGCGAGCGCAGGCGGAAAAAUAAGUCUAAUGUGAAAGCCCUCGGCUUAACCGAGGAACUGCAUCGGAAACUGUUUUUCUUGAGUGCAGAAGAGGAGAGUGGAACUCCAUGUGUAGCGGUGGAAUGCGUAGAUAUAUGGAAGAACACCAGUGGCGAAGGCGGCUCUCUGGUCUGCAACUGACACUGAGGCUCGAGAGCAUGGGUAGCGAACAGGAUUAGAUACCCUGGCAGUCCAUGCCGUAAACGAUGAGUGCUAAGUGU